rnacentral:rRNA from 1 species
UACGGGGGGGAGCAAGCGUUGUUCGGAUUUACUGGGCGUAAAGGGCGCGUAGGCGGCCACCGCAAGUCAAUUGUGAAAUCUCCGGGCUUAACUCGGAAAGGUCAACUGAUACUGCGGGGCUAGAGUGCGGAAGGGGCAACUGGGAAUUCUCGGUGUAGCGGUGAAAUGCGUAGAUAUCGAGAGGAACACCUGCGGCGAAGGCGGGUUGCUGGGCCGACACUGACGCUGGAUGCGCGAAAAGCCAGGGGGAGCGAACGGGG